CAUAACAGUAAUAUAUGAGAAUACUCUAAAUACAACUAGUAAAGAAGAAACAAUCUAAUCAAACUUCCAACUUCAAUUUCAUAUGCAUUCAUGCCUUCACAUUUUCAGCUUACACAGUGUUACAGUCGUGUACCUAAUAUUGGAAAUAAGAUAAGAGGAAAAUGAGAAAUCAGCAAGGCGGUAACAGUACAGCAACAACAACAACCAGCAGCCAGGAGAUUUAAAACCCAGCAAUAAACUCAGAAAUCCAGUUGCAAUUUCAGAAAUACAAGGCAGCAACACAGAUAUACCAGAAACAACAACAAAUAACUAGUGCAGACCAGAAAUAACAAACUCAAAAAAAAACACUUGAAACCUCAGUGAAAUCCCAGAAAAAAAGAAAGAAAAAAAACCAACAAUCACAAACAGAACAGUAGAACCAGAAGUGCAAUAGAACAAGUAAACUUUGAUUUCUAUUUUUUCAAACUCUCAAAGAAAGAAACACUUUGAAGUUU
rnacentral:lncRNA from 1 species